GUGCAAAGAUUUAAAACAUGGAUAAUUUUGAUCAUCAAAUUUAAUUACCAAUAAAUGUAACAAGUACUUCUCCUUCAACAUUCCUAAGAAAAUAAUUACAGAUUCAGCAUGAAUACAUAUUCUAAAAGUUCUAAACAAACAACAAAUCACUAUUGUCCAAAAUAUUUACAAAAUGCCUAAAUCUUGCAACACUUUAAUCCUUCGCACAUUCGCAACAUCCAAAAUCCAUUGACAAACAUAUUGCUCCCUAAACUGUUGGAGUUCAUCCUGCAAAAACAAAAUAGCACAACAAAUGAAUAAAAUACAACAUAUAUAAUAGAGGUCCACAACAUUUAUAACUAAUAUGUCUUUUUGGCGUUUGAUAUUUAUUCUUCUUGAAAUUAUAAUUGGGUUUUGGGUAUAAAGGGAUGGAAACGAAAUGAGAGAGACUGAAGGCACCUUCAUUGAUAUUUGACUUGAUAUAAUCAACAAUCCUUUAUUUUAUUCUUAUACUAAAUCAUAAUCUGAAGUUCCAUCUACAUGAGGAAACAAAUCAUAAAACUAAUUUAUGGAAAUUAAUCCCAAGAGAUAAGAUAUUCUAUGAUUUAUGUAGAUAUCAUUGGAUAUUCUUCAUAUAUUCUAAAAAUUCUCAUGAAUGAUAUUUAAGUUAUGUUCUAUUGUGAUGAUUAAGUUCUCCUUGAAUAUAUAAAACCAGUAUUUCAAAUCAGUUCAAAUUUGAACCAAAUUUAUCAGUUCUGGUUGGUAUCUCAUGACAGAAGCAUGAAAACAAAAAUCUUGCAUUGAACAUUUUGCUGACAUGCCCCUUCUACCAUCCAAAGAACAAAAGCCUACCCACAUUUCUUUAUCGUCUACUCUCAUACCAGUAUCAUCUACUCGUUUCUAGCAAACAAUAACAAAAAUAGAGAAAAUAACAAAACAAAAAACGUGGUAAAGGUAACACUCCUUGAAUUUGUCAGAAGUAUAAGAAAAAGGACUGAAAUCAUAAACAUCAAUUCCAAAAACCAAUCACGAUGACAAAGUAUGCAACACACGCGUUAAGUAAGCAACAAAGUCAAUGAAUCUCAAAUAUAUUCCAAAAGGAAAAUGAACAUGAAACUUAAAUCUACACCAAGCACACCAGAGCAACCAGCAGAAGACCAAAUGGAAGACCCAGACAACCUUACAAUUCUUGAAGCAAAAUGGAAGAAGCUAACCUUGGGUUUAGGGUUCUGCCGCAACCAAAUCGAACCGCGGUUUUGGUGGAUGUUAGACGGCGGCGGGUGUCUGAAGGCUUGAGUGCGGUAGCGGUGGUGACCGGUGGGGACGAGAUGGUGAGAGGCGGUGGUGGGUGAUUCUUGAACGCUCUUUUAGGGUUCUGCGGAAGGGGGAAGCGAAGCGGGUUUGCGGGUACGGGAGGUUCGCGAAAUGGAUAUUAGAAUUUUAAUUAAACCCG
rnacentral:lncRNA from 1 species